rnacentral:lncRNA from 1 species
CCAAAAAAGUAGAGAAAUUUCCGCAAACCCGACACCAAAAUUCUGAUCAUGAUCAGCGUUCUGUCUUAGGUUCCCAUUCAAAUCAAGUCCAAAACGCUUAAUCUCUUUGCUUUCCUAGUUCUUCUUUCUUUUUGAAUUUUUGGUAUUUGAUGAAAAUGUAGGAGCGUUUGAUUGGUGCUGCACUAGGAUGUGCUUUAACGGGGAUUGUUGUAUUCGAGCAACGAAAACGCAUCCAUAAAUCCAUUUCAAAUCAUCAAUCUCGACUCGCUUCCCAAUCUCAGGUCCCCUUUUCCAUUUCCAGGGUUGAAUUUUCUUGGCUAAAGCGUCAAAAAGGUACUUCACUAAAAUUCAAUAAUCAUCCAAGCCCUUAUUGUUUUUUUCAAUCAUUUUAAUCCUUAAACAUUUAUUUUCAUCAAUUGAGCCCUUUCGUUCCAAUCCUUCAUUGACUGAAAAUAGACGUAUAAGGAUCAAUUGGAAAUGAAAAUAGAUGUUUAAGGGUUCAAUUGAUUUGAAAUAGAAGACUUACGGUUUAAUUGAUUGUAAUUAAAUGUUAGGGACUUAAAUGAUUAUUGAAUUUUUGUUUGAGGACUUUUUUUGACGCUUACGCCAAUUUUCUUUUAUAUUUGCUAUUUGAAACGCUAGAAAAAGUAAUGGAUUGAAGUUCUACAUACUUCUUAAGCUAAUGCAAAUGGUUUCUGUAGAACAACUAUGUCCUAGUUAAUGCGGGUGCAUAGUUUUCUGUUGAAACCCUAGUACUUUAGUUCAAGUGAUAAAAGAUGGGAAUUUGAUUUUGGGGGGGGGGGGGGAGGAGUGAAAAUGCAAAAGUCAAAUGUGUAAUGAGUAAUGUAGAUUUUUGGUUUUAUAUUUUGUUCUUGGAAGGAACAGUGGAGAAAUGGCUUUCUCCUCAUUCAAUUUGGGAAUUCUUAGCUUCUUUUUUGCUUUCUCCUUUAUCUUGUUCUUUCUAAGAAUUGAGGUUGAUCAGUAGAAAACUUUUGAGGAAUACAGAGUUUCUUUGAUUUAGGAGACUGGGACAUAUGUUUGCAUUCUUUAAAAUUUAAGUUAAAAUCUACCUCUUAGUAUCUGCCAAUGCUUCAAAAAUUAAUGAUUGAACUUGGUGAUUAGACUCCCUAGCUUUACCUAAGAAAUAAAGGAAAUUAAACUGUUUAGAUAUAAUUUAUUAACAGGUCUAAUCAUGUAAGUUUCUAGUGUCACAUCUAGGAUGUUAGUAACAAUCUUGUUAAUGGUUUAAUUAGAAGGGGAAUGUAAUUGUCAGAGAUAUUUGAUUGCUUCCUUAGUCUUUAAAUAUUUCUUAUACACUUUUUUUUUUUUUAUUGUGGAAACGGUCAAAUAUUUUUGGCAACAUUAUCACCCUAUUGAAGAAUCAUUUUCUUCUACUCUUGUAGAUAAUUUAUGCUACCUCUAAUGUUUAAGGCCAUAUGCCUUGUGACUUGGGACAAAUAUGAGACCAAUUCUUGUGGUUUUGCAGUAUAUCUCAAGUGGGAUUAUAGGGAAGAGGAAUAUAUUUAUUUGAAAGAAAUGGUUAACCCUGCCAAAACGAUGAACCUAUUGUUAUCUAGAAAUUGAUAUACAAGCAGAUUUGGCUUUCACAAGUAAAAUUAUGUUUUGUCAUUUGCAGUUUGUGGGGAUUAAAUUCUCAUAGUUUUACUUUUAACUUCUUCCAGAUGAAAGAUUCCAUAUUUGGUAAGAAGUCCCACUCUGAGUUUGCACUUCUAUGGCACAAAGAUGUGGACCAGAUAUUUGUGCCAGUAAUUGAGUCCAUUAGUUCACGUAGAUGGUAGAAGAUUUGGGGUAAUUUUACUAUCAACUCUUUUAAUGUGUCCAUUACUUUCAUAUUAUUGCAUACAAUGGCCUGCACUCAGUUGUAUCUCUCUAAAUUUUUUGAACCUAAAGGAGGCAUGCAUCUUGCAGCUAUGCUAUGUUCUAAUACAUAACAUAUAAUAAUGGUAAAUUCAGUUUUCUUGAUCUAUGGUUUUUAGAAGAUUUCCUGGUAUAUUUCAUUUCUUCUUCUUCUUCCUUAAGACUUUAAUGUGAUAAAGCACACAUAAGUACAAUUUUCACAAUUAUUUUUAAAUUCAUGGAUUUGUUAGAUUUUCAUUUAGGGUUAAAUUUGAAGUACCUUUGGGCAUUUGGGAAUUUGAAAUUCUAUCUUUUUUAUAUUUUUCAAAUAUACAGGCAUAUUGAAACUUAAUUAAUUUGUGCAUAGUUUGUGUAUUUCAUUCUCACAAUUUGUAUAGCAAAUCAAAUUCAAGUUCACUCAGUCACAUUCAUCUUUCCAAACAUACCAUAAAAAAAAUUCAUGAAAGUAUAUAUAUAUAUAUUUUUUUGUAAGAUACUCAAGUUAGUUUCUAAUCUUAUGUAUUUUGAAAUAUGAAUCUUUAUUAAGUUGUUAAGUGAUACUAUUUGCAAUUAUGCCCACAAUUAAUUUAUUAUUUAUGCAACAGAAUUAAUCCAAAUUCCCUCUCCUAAAUUCAUGUAUCUAAACCUAACAUUAGCGGUUUUGUUUGUAUCAAACAUCUAAUCCACACUGGAUUAUUUAGUGGCUUAGCUCUUAAAAUCAAAAUAUUAAAUGUGUCAUUAUUGAUACAAUAGAGUUAGAAAUGAAUGAAAAGUGGUUGUUACAACUACAUUUUUUUUUUAACUCAGUUUCUGUAGUUCUGUUCAAUGAAACUAAAAGUUUAGCUCUUUAUCAAUGGAUUACAUGAUUGUGGUAGCUACAACUGCUAUCCAAUUUAUGAUUUUGGAUGCUUUUUAUGAUUUUAUCCAAUUUAUAUCUCAUUUCGCUAAAGCAUCCAAUGAUUAUGGGCAUAUCUCAAUGAUCUUUCUUGACUUUCAGCACCUACAGUUUUGUGUCUGCCAUUGCCUUGAAUGAUUGCGAUUGAUAACAUAAUCUCAGACAGAGACUAAAUGUGUGAAACACUUUCAUGCAAUUAUAUAACAAACUGAAUCAUAAAACAAUUACACUCCAUGACAGGUACAUUGGGAGGAAAAACCAGCGAGAGAAGAGAAAUAAAGACAGCUUAAUUCUAACUGCUAUCAAGCCUUAGCCAAUAUUAUACAUGGAGAAUUGGAGAUUGGAGAGCACGUGAUCAGGCAUCAGGUUGAACACAGUUUGCUCAAUAAGCAUUGGCUUGACGGGUUAAACACCCAUUAC